rnacentral:rRNA from 1 species
CGCCCCCGCCAGAGGACCCCUAACUCUGUUUUUAUAAUGUUUUUCUGAGUAAACAAGCAAAUAAAUUAAAACUUUCAACAACGGAUCUCUUGGCUCUGGCAUCGAUGAAGAACGCAGCGAAAUGCGAUAAGUAAUGUGAAUUGCAGAAUUCAGUGAAUCAUCGAAUCUUUGAACGCACAUUGCGCCCGCCAGUAUUCUGGCGGGCAUGCCUGUUCGAGCGUCAUUACAACCCUCAGGCCCCCGGGCCUGGCGUUGGGGAUCGGCGGAAGCCCCCUGUGGGCACACGCCGUCCCUCAAAUACAGUGGCGGUCCCGCCGCAGCUUCCAUUGCGUAGUAGCUAACACCUCGCAACUGGAGAGCGGCGCGGCCAUGCCGUAAAACACCCAACUUCUGAAUGUUGACCUCGAAUCAGGU